rnacentral:rRNA from 1 species
GAGCAGUAGCCGCGCAGUCGCCACGGGAAUACGUAGGGCGCAAGCGUUAUCCGGAAUUAUUGGGCGUAAAGAGCUCGUAGGCGGUUUGUCGCGUCUGCCGUGAAAGUCCGGGGCUCAACCCCGGAUCUGCGGUGGGUACGGGCAGACUAGAGUGAUGUAGGGGAGACUGGAAUUCCUGGUGUAGCGGUGAAAUGCGCAGAUAUCAGGGGAACACCGAUGGCGAAGGCAGGUCUCUGGGCAUUAACUGACGCUGAGGAGCGAAAGCAUGGGGAGCGAACAGGAUUAGAUACCCCCGUAGUCCCUG